AGUAAUGCGUGACCAACCUGCCCCAUGCUCCAGAAUAGCUCUUGGAAACGGGUGGUAAUGCUGGAUGCUCCAACUUGACGCAUGUCUUGUUGGGAAAGUGUUUAGUGGCAUGGGAUGGGGUCGCGUCCUAUCAGCUUGUAGGCGGGGUAAUGGCCCACCUAGGCUUCGACGGGUAGCCGGCCUGAGAGGGCGGACGGCCACAUUGGGACUGAGAUACGGCCCAGACUCCUACGGGAGGCAGCAGAU
rnacentral:rRNA from 1 species